rnacentral:rRNA from 1 species
AACGAACGCUGGCGGCAGGCCUAACACAUGCAAGUCGAGCGCGCCCUUCGGGGUGAGCGGCGGACGGGUGAGUAACGCGUGGGAACGUGCCCUUUUCUACGGAAUAGCCUCGGGAAACUGAGAGUAAUACCGUAUACGCCCUUUGGGGGAAAGAUUUAUCGUAAAAGGAUCGGCCCGCGUUGGAUUAGGUAGUUGGUGGGGUAAUGGCCUACCAAGCCGACGAUCCAUAGCUGGUUUGAGAGGAUGAUCAGCCACACUGGGACUGAGACACGGCCCAGACUCUUACGCGAGGGGGCAGAGGGUAAUCUAGGCCAACGGGGUCGACCAUGAAGUCGCCAGGCCGGGUGAGUGAUGAAGGCCUUAGAGUAGAAAAGCUCUUUAAGCUGGGAAGAUAAUGACGGUACCAGCAGAAGAAGCCCCGGCUAACUCCGUG